AUGGAUCGGAAAGAAGCUGACCUCCGCUGUAUGGAAGUAUGGUAUAUCAACUGCUAUGCCCUGUUCAUGGGGUACCUGCUGAUGGCCGUUAGGGGGCUGGGCUUCCUCGUGAUUACCUGGUCCACCGUCGUUCUCCUAGGCGGUUUCGUCUCCGAUCUGGAGAAGAAGGACUUUUGGUCUCUCACAAUCAUUACCCUCGUCCUAACACCUCGGGUCUCUACUGAUGUCGGUCUGAAGGGGAAGUUGAAAUAUAUUGAGUAUUCGAUCAUUGGUGUCUCACACGCUAUAUAUGCCACGCUGAACCCUAAUGGAACUAAUGACACCUGGGCACGCCAACUGCUAGCAGCUGUUGUAUGGUUGUGUCACCUGCUGGUGGGCCCUAUAGUAGUGUGCCCUCUAGCGGCUCUCUAUAUGUGUGGGCCGCUGUUCAGUGCCGGGAUUUCGGCGUGGCGCCUGAUAGAACAUGAUUACGUCGCCACCAAGAAUGAAGAAGCUGCACACCUGCAGCCGGCCCUGAUUGUUUUGUAUUCUCUGGCUAUGUUGCAGGGUCUGCUCUUCUGUUACAGGUUUUAUUCGAGUUUUGCGCGGAAGGACUUAGUCAAUGAUGUGGCGCGAGCGUACAAGAUGAACCACAUCGAAGAGGAUGUGAAGGAAUACCUGCGCGAGACCGUGAUCGGGUGUGAGAAGGACCCAGCAUUCUUCAAGGAGACAAACUUGGCGACAUAUGCUAUGGGAAUGAUCAAGUCCCAAAAAUCAGAAAACUUCCUUUCCGGGGCAAGGAUUCUGGACGCACUCUUGGAGCACCCAGCAGAGGAGCGCACACUCACAUCACAGCUCAUCAGUUUGGUAGCGUCUUCUGGCCCUGUACUCGAGAAACUGCUGUUGGCGCUGGAUUCCACAAGCCCAUACGACGAGACGAUUAGGGUGAUUGCUGCCAACAUAGUGACACACCUUGCCAGUAGGAUUCCUCUGAUGCAGUUCCCACAUGGGAUCCAGCGCAUAGGCUCGCUGAUCCACAUCUCUCAGCAGCAAUUUGAGGAUGACUGUUGUGCGUCCUCCCUGUCCGCUGAUGACUACAAGAAACUCACGGAGAACGGCUUCGUUAUCCUCCGCAAGCUCGCAGCCGACGAGGACAAUUGCAGAACCAUAAGCAACGCCCAGGGCCUGCUCUCCAAGGUCAUGGCGCCCGUAAGCUCCGACUUGCUCCACCUCAUCGACCACGAGGCAUGGUCGACCGCCAUUGUAACCGAGUCGCUGCAAGUCAUGUGCCGGCUCAUGGCUGCUCCGGGAGAGACUGGCGCCCAGCUGCGCAGACAAAUUUCAAGCAGCAAGGAAGUAAUCCACGGCAUGGAGGAAAUUCUCAAGUGUUGCGGAUGCGGUGAACAAGUUCGCAUAUUAACCAUUGAGAUUCUCACGCAGCUACCCGUGGGCUUGGGUGAGGAGUUUCCGUGUGGGAACAAGGAAAGCAGAGAAAAUUUUAUCAAGAUGCUUCCUUCUAUCUUCACUGAUGAGGCCAAAGAGCACCCCAUCAGAAAAUUGGCUGGUGAAGCACUGCUGAAGCUAAGUCAAAGCGAAACCAAUGCUGCCAUCAUCUUGAAGGCAAAUGAUCAUCUUGUCCGUGAUCUCCGUAAAAUCCUACUAGAUGCUGCGGCCAAGGGCACAAAUCGAAUUAUGGCAGCUAAAACACUCAAGCAUCUCUAUAUUUAUUACAAAGAGAAUGAUGAAUAUCUCAGGGCACUCAAGGAAACGAUGGAGGACGUGAUGCCAAAAAUUCUCCGAGAAAUACUACCUCCUGUUGUGUUGAAUGGAAAUGAUACACUAGCAGAAACCAGAACACAUAGACAAAGUUCUCCUUUGCUAGGCCCCGCUGACAUAGAAGCCCAAGUUCUUGUUUCACAAGAUGAUGGCCGUAGCAACAACACUUCAACUUGUCAGCAAAAUGAUGACAUGAAAUUGCACAUGGCUUUACUAUCUCUCGCUGCUGCAAUAUUUGACAAAUUCAUCACCCAAGAUCAUAAUUUGGCUCAACUGGUUGAUAAAAUUUCUCCUGGAGAUUCUCCAACCAGCUUUGCCAAUAAGCUCAAUGAGUUGGUGCGGAGAAAGAGUCAACCCACGGCUAGUUGCCUGAGCAUGAUGAAGAAUGCCAGCAACAUGGUCAUAUCAAUGAUGAAAGUGAAGCACAGUGACAGCUACCUCAAAGAACACUUCUUGGUGAUCUUUCUACAAUCUUUGGCUGAUGCUUGCAAGACCAUGUCUUCUCUCGAGAGCUUUAUGAUUUUAUACAGUGCCAAUCGUGGCACACUGAAGCCUUACAGGACUCUCGCCUCCUUAUUGAAAGAAGCAGAGGAACUUCUAGUCACAAAGGAGCCAAAGGAGCAGUGA
rnacentral:rRNA from 1 species